rnacentral:lncRNA from 1 species
CCUGAUUCUUCUCCACGAUCAUCACCUGUCUGUCUACGUCGCCAUCCUGGCCCCGCCCCCACAUUCAUUAGGACCGUCAGAUUUUCAAUGCAGGGGGCGGAGCUCCGCGCCGGUAGGAGGCGCUACCCCUACGUUUCACGGACACCCACAGAAGAAGAGCUGAUUCGGAACAACAUGUCGGCGCCCGGUCCGUUUAUCCGGUAGCGCGUGACGCGCGUGACGCGCCUGCGCCCUGCAGGACUGAAGCAUGGAGCCCCCCCCUCCGCCGUUCCACGCGCUAGCGAGCACGAGCGCGUGUCUCCUCAGCGGGACCGAGCCGGAGAACAGCCCCGCCCAACUGGCCCCCCUCAUUCUGUCCUGCGCGCGUGAGAGCGCCGCGUGGGAGCUGGCGUGCGUGAGCAUUUCGCUGGUGGCGAAGAUCGUGCGCGUGCUGGAGUCCGGGAAGCUGGCGGCAGCGCGGGUCCGGUUCUGGGAGGAGCUUCUGCGGCUUCUGGGGGAGGAGCGUCUGCUGCAGCGGCUCGUGGAGCGGUUCCGGUCCGGGGAUCGGCUGGUGUCCCACCUGGCCGCUAAGGCGGCAUCCUGCUGGGUGGUCCGGAGGAUGAGGAGGGGGGUACGAGCCGCUGCUUCUGUUGCGUGGAGACCGUCCUCAGGUGAUCGUAACGGCGUUUGUGUCCCGCCCCCUCCCAGGAGCCGCCCCCCCCACCUGGAAGAGGACCUGUGAGCGGACCUUCCUCAGCUGCUCGGCUGGACCAGAACUGGACUCCUGUCUCUGGUCCCUGACUGAAGUCUGCAGGAGGUUCCUCUCAGGAGCUCCUCCAGGUAAGCAUGGUUCUGCUCAGCUCCAGAACCUGUGCGUGAGCCGAGGUUCUGUUUGGGUCGGGAUGGCUCUGACGAUCCACGAGGUUCAUUUUAGACGGUUUGUUCUGUGAGUUUGAGCCCUCCUGUGGGGGAGGGGUGAGCUGCAGACCCAGUCGCGCUCAGGGUCCAUUUGGUGGUUUGACCCCCCCUUACAGCUGAGUGUGACCCGGGAAGGCUUUGGGUCCUGGCCUUGUCUGGGGAUUUGAACCCACACACCGUCCGGUCUCAGGACAGACACUGUACCACUGCAG